AGCGUGCACUGGGCGCUCCUCGGCGCGUCUGCCCGGCCCGUCUCGGCUUUCCUUCUCCUUCCUCUAGUCCCAGCGUCACAACUCCGCCGACCUCCUCUGCCCUGAGAGCGCGUCCGGUGCGGGCGGAGUCGGAUGGACUCUGGCUUCACGCCUCGCGCGGGCACACCUUCUCCCGGGCACUGAGGCCCAGUUCUUAGGGGAGGCAGAGUCCUUCUGGAGUUUGACCCUUGGAUUCCAUCCAGAGCAGCCUCCAAAAUGACACCUUUGAAGUUGUGUAUCGAGCUGGGGGAUGUAAAGGGAGGAGAAGAAAGAAGAUGAAGAGAUACCAGCCAGCCUUAAGGAGUGGACAUCCUGCCUGGUGAAACUGAACAAGACACCGACCGCAUAUGGAGUUUCGCUCUGUCGCCCAGGCUGGAGUGCAGUGGUGCCAUCUCGGCUCACCGCAACCUCCACCUCCAGGUUCAAGUGAUUCUCCUGCCUCAGCCUCUCAAGUAGCUGGGAUUACAGGAGCCCUCUCCCACCGCUCCUACACUGCUGGUAAAAGGCAGCCGCACUGCCUGCUGGAAGACCUGC
rnacentral:lncRNA from 1 species